rfam:Subdoligranulum variabile DSM 15176 genomic scaffold Scfld0, whole genome shotgun sequence.
AGUCUGUUUCAGGGCGGGGUGUGAUUCCCCACCGGCGGUAAGCGGCCCAAAGGGCCGUAAGCCCGCGACCGGCUGCUUGGGCAGCCGCUGAUCCGGUGUGAAUCCGGGGCCGACGGUAUAGUCCGGAUGAAAGAAACGGAAA